rnacentral:rRNA from 1 species
UACGAAGGGGGCAAGCGUUGCUCGGAAUCACUGGGCGUAAAGGGCGCGUAGGCGGCUUUAUAAGUCGGGGGUGAAAGCCUGUGGCUCAACCACAGAAUUGCCUUCGAUACUGUAGAGCUUGAGACCGGAAGAGGUAAGUGGAACUGCGAGUGUAGAGGUGAAAUUCGUAGAUAUUCGCAAGAACACCAGUGGCGAAGGCGGCUUUCUGGUCCGGUUCUGACGCUGAGGCGCGAAAGCGUGGGUAGCAAACAGG